rnacentral:rRNA from 2 species
UGCAGUCGAGCGGACAGAUGGGAGCUUGCUCCCUGAUGUUAGCGGCGGACGGGUGAGUAACACGUGGGUAACCUGCCUGUAAGACUGGGAUAACUCCGGGAAACCGGGGCUAAUACCGGAUGGUUGUUUGAACCGCAUGGUUCAAACAUAAAAGGUGGCUUCGGCUACCACUUACAGAUGGACCCGCGGCGCAUUAGCUAGUUGGUGAGGUAACGGCUCACCAAGGCAACGAUGCGUAGCCGACCUGAGAGGGUGAUCGGCCACACUGGGACUGAGACACGGCCCAGACUCCUACGGGAGGCAGCAGUAGGGAAUCUUCCGCAAUGGACGAAAGUCUGACGGAGCAACGCCGCGUGAGUGAUGAAGGUUUUCGGAUCGUAAAGCUCUGUUGUUAGGGAAGAACAAGUACCGUUCGAAUAGGGCGGUACCUUGACGGUACCUAACCAGAAAGCCACGGCUAACUACGUGCCAGCAGCCGCGGUAAUACGUAGGUGGCAAGCGUUGUCCGGAAUUAUUGGGCGUAAAGGGCUCGCAGGCGGUUUCUUAAGUCUGAUGUGAAAGCCCCCGGCUCAACCGGGGAGGGUCAUUGGAAACUGGGGAACUUGAGUGCAGAAGAGGAGAGUGGAAUUCCACGUGUAGCGGUGAAAUGCGUAGAGAUGUGGAGGAACACCAGUGGCGAAGGCGACUCUCUGGUCUGUAACUGACGCUGAGGAGCG